AAGAGAAUUGCUGUGUGACGUCAAUUCGACGUCAUCGCAUGGUGAAGUGGUUAAGGGACUCAUUCAGUGAGGAAACCAUGUUUUCAUCUACGAAUUUAACUCUAAGAGUUCUUAUUAUUUGAAAUUGCCGAAACCGAGAGUUAAUUAAAGAUGUUUUCAUAAUAUUCAAGAUUUUAUAAAAUGUAACGUUAGUUAUUUUGCUUCAUCGAU